UGGGGAAUUUUGCACAAUGGGGGAAACCCUGAUGCAGCGACGCCGCGUGAUUUAGAAGGCCUUCGGGUUGUAAAAAUCUUUUUUACGGGAUGAAAAUGACAGUACCGUAAGAAUAAGGUCCGGCUAAAUACGUGCCAGCAGCCGCGGUAAUACGUAUGGACCGAGCGUUGUCCGGAAUCAUUGGGCGUAAAGGGUACGUAGGCGGCCUAGUAAGUUAGAAGUGAAAUAAUAUAGCUCAACUAUAUAAAGCUUUUAAAACUGCUAGGCUUGAGAGAUGGAAGGGAAAGUGGAAUUCCUAGUGUAGCGGUGAAAUGCGAAGAUAUUAGGAAGAAUACCGGUGGCGAAGGCGACUUUCUGGUCAUCAUCUGACGCUGAGGUACGAAAGCGUGGGUAGCAAACAGG
rnacentral:rRNA from 1 species